GAUGAACGCUGGCGGCGUGCCUAAUACAUGCAAGUCGAGCGAACAGACGAGGAGCUUGCUCCUCUGACGUUAGCGGCGGACGGGUGAGUAACACGUGUAUAACCUACCUAUAAGACUGGGAUAACUUCGGGAAACCGGAGCUAAUACCGGAGAAUAUAUUGAACCGCAUGGUUCAAUAGUGAAAGACGGUUUUGCUGUCACGUAUAGAUGGAUCCGCGCCGCAUUAGCUAGUUGGUAAGGUAACGGCUUACCAAGGCAACGAUGCGUAGCCGACCUGAGAGGGUGAUCGGCCACACUGGAACUUAGACACGGUCCAGACUCCUACGGGACGCAGCAGUAGGGAAUCUUCCGCAAUGGGGGAAAGCCUGGCGGAGCAACGCCGAGUGAGUGAUGAAGGUCUUCGGAUCGUAAAGCUCUGUUAUUAGGGAAGAACAAAUGUGUAAGUAACUGUGCACGUCUUGACGGUACCUAAUCAGAAAGCCACGGCUAACUACGUG
rnacentral:rRNA from 1 species